UACGGAGGGGGCAAGCGUUAUUCGGAAUUAUUGGGCGUAAAGGGCGCGUAGGCGGCUAGAUGUGUCAAAGGUGAAAUCCCUCGGCUCAACUGAGGAACUGCCUUUGAAACUGUCUGGCUUGAGGCCGGGAGAGGGUAGCGGAAUUCCCAGUGUAGCGGUGAAAUGCGUAGAUAUUGGGAGGAACACCAGUGGCGAAGGCGGCUACCUGGACCGGCUCUGACGCUGAGGCGCGAAAGCGUGGGUAGCAAACAGG
rnacentral:rRNA from 1 species